rfam:Gossypium arboreum cultivar AKA8401 contig_6162_3, whole genome shotgun sequence.
AACCCAUGGUGAGGGCACCUUCUCAACAAAUCCUUGUAUCUCUCUCAUGCAUCAUAGAUUGUUUCUAAAUCCAUCUGUAAAAAAGAAGAGAUAUCAUUACGUAAUUU